AGUGAACGCUGGCGGCGUGCCUCAUACAUGCAAGUCGAAGGAAGUGGCGCACGGGUGAGUAAUAUAUAGCUAAUCUGCCCCUUGCUGGAGGACAACAGUUAGAAAUGACUGCUAAUACUCCAUAGCAAGGAAUGAGCCUAUAUCGGAUCAGCUAGUCGGUGGGGUAACGGCCUACCUAGGCUAUGACGCGUAACUGGUCUGGGAGGAUGAUCAGUCACAUUGGAACUGAAACACGGUUCAAACUCCGACGGGAGGCAGCAGGAGGGAAGAAUGCGCAAUGGGGGAAACCCUGACGUAGCAAAGGCGCGUGGAGGAUGACACGUUUCGGAGAUUAAACUCCGUUUGUUAGGGAAGCGGUACCUAACGAAUAAGCACCGGCUAACUCCGUGCCAGCCGCCGCGGUAAUAC
rnacentral:rRNA from 1 species